CCGCCAGAAAAUUACGAGCGAAGAGCUUAAAACUCAAAGGACUUGGCGGUGCUCCACACCCGACUUAGAGGAGCCUGUCCUAUAAUCGAUACUCCACGCUAAACCCCACCAUUCAUUGCCUUAAACAGCCUAUAUACCGCCGUCGCCAACUUACCCCAUGAGGGCCAAACAGUAAGUAUAACAGUAUUUUUACUAAAACGUCAGGUCAAGGUGUAGCUAAUAGAAUGGCAGAGAUGGGCUACAUUUUUU
rnacentral:rRNA from 1 species